rnacentral:rRNA from 1 species
CAAAGCACUUUGAAGAGAGAGUUAAAGAGGACGUGAAACCGGUAAGGUGGAAACGGAUAGAGUCAGGCGUAUCAUUCAAUUAUUCAGUUACAUUAUUUUUAUGUUGUGACCUCUGAGCUCCAGAUUGGGACAGAGGGAAUCAGCAUAAUUUUUUGUGGUGCAUUUACUUGAUUGGUGCUUGGGGAUGUUUGAGGCAGAUUUGUUUCCGUCGUUUUGAGGCCAGCUUGCUGGUACCCAAACGGUGUUAGCAUUUUUUGUCUUGGGCAUUUGAGUAUGGCUCACGUGUAUUUAUUGGACAGAUCUGAGUGUAAGUUACGGUCGCAUGCGACACGUGCUUUUCAAUUAGUUCGGUCCAGUUAAUGCUCUCGUACUCGUUCCCCAUGUAAAAGCCGGUCAUCUAUCCGACCCGUCUUGAAACACGGACCAAGGAGUUUAUCGUGUGCGCAAGUUUUUGGGUGUUAAAAACUUAAAAGCGAAAUGAAAGUAAAUGACUCUUUAGAGUCUGAUGUGCGAUCUUGUAAAAAAGUGCAGCAUGGCCCCAUUCUAACUGUUUACAGUAGGGUGGCGGAAGAGCGUACGCGGUGAGACCCGAAAGAUGGUGAACUAUUCCUGAGCAGGACGAAGCCAGAGGAAACUCUGGUGGAAGUCCGAAGCGGUUCUGACGUGCAAAUCGAUCGUCUGACUUGGGUAUAGGGGCGAAAGACUAAUCGAACCAUC